UACGUAGGGGGCAAGCGUUGUCCGGAAUUAUUGGGCGUAAAGAGCGCGUAGGCGGUCCGAUAAGUCGGCUGUGAAAGUCAGGGGCUCAACCCUUGGAAGCCGGCCGAUACUGUCGGACUAGAGUCCGGAAGAGGCGGAGUGGAAUUCCCGGUGUAGCGGUGAAAUGCGCAGAUAUCGGAAGGAACACCAAUGGCGAAGGCAGCUCGCUGGGACGGUACUGACGCUGAGGCGCGAAAGCGGUGGGGAGCAAACAGGG
rnacentral:rRNA from 1 species